UACGGAGGAUUCAAGCGUUAUCCGGAUUUAUUGGGUUUAAAGGGUGCGUAGGCGGUCGGAUAAGUUAGAGGUGAAAUCCCGGGGCUCAACUUCGGAAUUGCCUCUGAUACUGUUCGGCUAGAGAGUAGUUGCGGUAGGCGGAGUGUAUGGUGUAGCGGUGAAAUGCUUAGAGAUCAUACAGAACACCGAUUGCGAAGGCAGCUUACCAAGCUACUUCUGACGUUGAGGCACGAAAGCGUGGGGAGCAAACAGG
rnacentral:rRNA from 1 species